rnacentral:piRNA from 1 species
UGUGUUGGAGAUUUGACCUACUCGUGGGGU